AUGACAACAGCUGCCCCUAGGAAGGGGAACUUGUCAACUGGGAACAAGUGGAGGAGACACUUCUUUUCACUCUACCAUCUUUUUUUAUCUUUUGAAUCAUGUAGAUGUGUUAUCUAUUCAAAAAUAAAUAAAAGCAGAAUGAACAAAAACCUUCCUGUGCCUUUCAAUUUCAGUCUAUUAUUUUCUAAUCCCAAGAUUUCCCGGAUCCACAGGGCUACAAAUAGCAGUGGGAGAGCCAAGCUGUAUUUUCUCUCUCCCUCCUCCAGGCAGCCUCCACCCGCACCUAGAGAAGCCCAGUUCUCUUGCUCUCCUUGUUGCACACAACCUCGCCUGCCACUGGAGGGCAGCAGGAGGCUUCCUUCCCGUCCCGUGCCGCAGCUGUUGGCUCUCCUUCCUGUCAAAUCACAUUUUACCCUGAGAGCUCGGCGCUGGUGCUGUGUAUUCCAGCCAAGGAUCUGCGGUCACGGAAUCACUGGCCUUCCCAGGAGUGAGGGGCUAUUGGAGUGCCUGGCCUUGAACCCCAGCUUGGGAACCCAGUUCUGGAACGCUGCCUGAACACACAAGCCAGUUAUUUUUAAAAAUCCAAAAAGAAAAGGAAGAAAGAGCAAACUCACUGCUUCGGUCUGCGCACCAGGCCCAGCUGAGAGAAUAGAGGCUUGAAAGGAACAAAGAAUUUCCUCAAACACAGCAGAUCAAGGGCUUGGCUUAUGUGGUAACCGGUGACCGACCACCGCGCUUUGUGACGGAGCCUUCAGAAGGCCCCAGAUCCUGCUGCAGUCUGUGGGGGAAGGGGAGCAGGGAACACCCUUCCCACCCCCACCCCACCCCAGGGCAGGCUGC
rnacentral:lncRNA from 1 species